rnacentral:tRNA from 1 species
GGACGGAUACUCAAGUAUGGUCGAAGAGGCCUCUCUGCUAAAGAGGUAGGGCGUUUCAACACGCUGCGUGGGUUCAAAUCCCACUCCGUCCGCCA